rnacentral:lncRNA from 1 species
AUGCCGGAGGAUGAGCCGGGAUGGGGCUGGAAUUCUGCGCUGGGAAGGGAAAGCACCGGUGGAUUUGGGACCGUGAAAUGCUUUGAGAGUCCGGGUGAGGAGGAGCCCCGAGAACUCCCCAGGACCUCCCGCCCCCCGCCCAGGAUUUGCUGCGUUUCCCUUUUUUUAGUGCCAAAACCGACCCCAUCGCCCCCUCCCGGGUCUGCUGGUGGCUCCGUGUCCAGCUGUGUCCAGCUGUGUCCAGCUGUGGUGUCCAGCUGUGGUGUCCAGCUGUGUCCAGCCAUGUCCAGUUGUGGUGUCCUGCUGUGUCCUGCUGUGUCCUGCUGUGGUGUCCAGCUGUGUCCUGCCACGUCCAGCUGUGUCCAGCUGUGGUGUCCAGUUGUGUCCAGCUGCAUCCAGCCAGUGUCCAGCUGUGUCCUGCAGUGUCCAGCAACAUCCAGCUGUGUCCAGCCAUGUCCAGCUGUGGUGUCCAGCCAUGUCCAGCCACAUCCAGCUGUGUCCAGCCGCAUCCAGCUGUGUCCAGCCACAUCCAGCUGUGUCCAGCUGUGUCCAGCCGCAUCCAGCUGUGGUGUCCAGCUGUGUCCAGACACGUCCAGCUGCGUCCAGCCGCAUCCAGCUGUGUCCAGCUGUGGUGUCCAGCCGUGUCCAUCCACAUCCAGCUGUGUCCUGCUGUGUCCAGCCGCAUCCUGCUGUGUCCAGCCGCAUCCAGCUGUGUCCAGCUGUGUCCAUCCCUCCGUCCUGCCCAGGCCAGCGCUCAGCCCCGGACCCCAGGGGCAGGAGCUGUCCAUGAAACAGGUCCCAGUCGGUCUCUGGGGACGAGGAAAACCACAAAAAACUAUAAAAUAAACACCAGACUCCUGGUUGAACGGCUCUGCGUGUUAAUCCUUGGGGUGGAAAACACCUUUAAAGCAAAAGGAUUCGGGGCUGGGGAGGGAGGGACAAUCCUCAUUUAUGAAAAUCUGCCCAACCCAGGUCAUUUGGGGUCCUAAAAUAACCCAAACUCCCCUCAAAACGAGGGUCCUUCAGCUGCUGCUCUUGAAACUCGACUCUCUUUGGAAAUUAAAAUCCCCCUGCACACCUCAGCCUUCUCCUGGCCACUUUUGGCUUAAAAUCUCCCCUUUCUCGGGAAUUCUCCGUCGCCAAAGGGACUCUCAGUUGCUUUUCUCUUUCUCCCCGCCCAGAUCCUCUCCCGGAGGGCUCAGUCCCAGCCGCUGUUCUCCUCGCUUUGGUUUUGUUGUUGUUUUUUUUUUGCCCGAAUUUCCCUUUUUUAAACCAUUUUUGGCUCCUGCCCGCGCCCCGCCCCUUCCC